rnacentral:rRNA from 1 species
AUUGAACGCUGGCGGCAGGCCUAACACAUGCAAGUCGAGCGGGGUUUUCGGACCUAGCGGCGGACGGGUGAGUAAUGCGUAGGAAGCUACCCGAUAGAGGGGGAUACCAGUUGGAAACGACUGUUAAUACCGCAUAAUGUCUACGGACCAAAGUGUGGGACCUUCGGGCCACAUGCUAUCGGAUGCGCCUACGUGGGAUUAGCUAGUUGGUGGGGUAAUGGCUCACCAAGGCGACGAUCCCUAGCUGGUUUGAGAGGAUGAUCAGCCACACUGGAACUGAGACACGGUCCAGACUCCUACGGGAGGCAGCAGUGGGGAAUAGUGGACAAUGGGCGCAAGCCUGAUCCAGCCAUGCCGCGUGUGUGAAGAAGGCCUUCGGGUUGUAAAGCACUUUCAGUAGGGAGGAAGAGUUGAGUGUUAAUAGUACUCGGCUUUGACGUUACCUACAGAAGAAGCACCGGCUAACUCUGUGCCAGCCGCCGCAGUAAGAC